rnacentral:lncRNA from 1 species
GAGCGAGGAGGGAGGGAGGGAGGGAGGUAGAGAGACGGACAGAUAGUAGAGAGAGACAGCACAUGGCGUUGUAACCAUAGCAGCAGUCUGCUCUACUUGACAGUAGAGUAAACAUCCUCCUUUCCCUAGCAACACCGAUUCACUACGGAAUUAAAGGCCAGUGCCUUACCAUCUUACACACACAUGACACACACACACACGCACACACAAAUAAAUGGCUUUGGAAUGACCCGUGUGAUACAUCUACCAGAGGAGAUGAUGAGGAGGGUGCUGAGGUAGAGGAGGGAGCUGAGGUAGAGGACGGAGCUGAGGGAGCUGAGGUAGAGGAGGGAGCUGAGGUAGAGGAGGGAGCUGAGGGAGCUGAGGUAGAGGGGGGAGCUGAGGUAGAGGAGGGAGCUGAGGUAGAGGACGGAGCUGAGGGAGCUGAGGUAGAGGAGGGAGCUGAGGUAGAGGAGGGAGCUGAGGUAGAGGAGGGAGCUGAGGUAGAGGAGGGAGCUGAGGUAGAGGACGGAGCUGAGGGAGCUGAGGUAGAGGACGGAGCUGAGGUAGAGGAGGGAGCUGAGGUAGAGGGGGAGCUGAGGUAGAGGGGGGAGCUGAGGUAGAGGAGGGAGCUGAGGUAGAGGAGGGAGCUGAGGGAGCUGAGGUAGAGGAGGGAGCUGAGGUAGAGGAGGGAGCUGAGGUAGAGGACGGAGCUGAGGGAGCUGAGGUAGAGGAGGGAGCUGAGGUAGAGGAGGGAGCUGAGGUAGAGGAGGGAGCUGAGGUAGAGGAGGGAGCUGAGGUAGAGAAUCGGAGCUGAGGUAGAGGAGGGAGCUGAGGUAGAGGACGGAGCUGAGGGAGCUGAGGUAGAGGAGGGAGCUGAGGUAGAGGAGGGAGCUGAGGUAGAGGAGGGAGCUGAGGGAGCUGAGGUAGAGGGGGGAGCUGAGGUAGAGGAGGAGCUGAGGUAGAGGGUGGAGCUGAGGCAGAGGAGGGAGCUGAGGCAGAGGGGGGAGCUGAGGCAGAGGGGGGGAGCUGAGGCAGAGGGGGGAGCUGAGGCAGAGGGGGGAGCUGAGGUAGAGGAGGGAGCUGAGGUAGAGGGGGGAGCUGAGGUAGAGGAGGGAGCUGAGGCAGAGGGGGGAGCUGAGGCAGAGGAGGGAGCUGAGGUAGAGGGGGGAGCUGAGGUAGAGGAGGGAGCUGAGGUAGAGGAGGGAGCUGAGGUGGAGGAGGGAGCUGAGGCAGAGGGGGGAGCUGAGGCAGAGGAGGGAGCUGAGGUAGAG